rnacentral:rRNA from 1 species
UACGUAGGGUGCAAGCGUUGUUCGGAGUUACUGGGCGUAAAGAGUGCGUAGGCGGUGCCCUAAGUCUGUUGUGAAAUCUCCCGGCUUAACUGGGAGGGUGCGGUGGAAACUGGGGUGCUUGAGUGUGGGAGAGGUAAGCGGAAUUCCUGGUGUAGCGGUGAAAUGCGUAGAUAUCAGGAGGAACACCGGUGGUGUAGACGGCUUACUGGACCACGACUGACACUGAGGCACGAAAGCGUGGGUAGCAAACAGG